rfam:Acyrthosiphon pisum strain LSR1 Contig7009, whole genome shotgun sequence.
AAACUGGUUCUUUUCAGAACCACGAACGGUAAAUUAACUUCCAAAU